rnacentral:snRNA from 1 species
GUGCUUGUUUAGGCAACACAUAUACUAAAAUUAGAACAAUACAGAAAUGAUCGGCACAAGGAUGACAUGCAAAUUCAUGGAGCUUUCCAUAUAUAA